GCCGGAGUAGCGUAGUGGUAGCGCAACCCCUUGGUAAGGGGUAGGUCGAGAGUUCGAUUCUCUCCUCCGGCACCA
rnacentral:tRNA from 3 species